CGGGACACGUGGUAUCCUGUCUGAAUAUGGGGGGACCAUCCUCCAAGGCUAAAUACUCCUGACUGACCGAUAGUGAACCAGUACCGUGAGGGAAAGGCGAAAAGAACCCCGGCGAGGGGAGUGAAAAAGAACCUGAAACCGUGUACGUACAAGCAGUGGGAGCACGCUUAGGCGUGUGACUGCGUACCUUUUGUAUAAUGGGUCAGCGACUUAUAUUCUGUAGCAAGGUUAACCGAAUAGGGGAGCCGAAGGGAAACCGAGUCUUAACUGGGCGUUAAGUUGCAGGGUAUAGACCCGAAACCCGGUGAUCUAGCCAUGGGCAGGUUGAAGGUUGGGUAACACUAACUGGAGGACCGAACCGACUAAUGUUGAAAAAUUAGCGGAUGACUUGUGGCUGGGGGUGAAAGGCCAAUCAAACCGGGAGAUAGCUGGUUCUCCCCGAAAGCUAUUUAGGUAGCGCCUCGUGAAUUCAUCUCCGGGGGUAGAGCACUGUUUCGGCAAGGGGGUCAUCCCGACUUACCAACCCGAUGCAAACUGCGAAUACCGGAGAAUGUUAUCACGGGAGACACACGGCGGGUGCUAACGUCCGUCGUGAAGAGGGAAACAACCCAGACCGCCAGCUAAGGUCCCAAAGUCAUGGUUAAGUGGGAAACGAUGUGGGAAGGCCCAGACAGCCAGGAUGUUGGCUUAGAAGCAGCCAUCAUUUAAAGAAAGCGUAAUAGCUCACUGGUCGAGUCGGCCUGCGCGGAAGAUGUAACGGGGCUAAACCAUGCACCGAAGCUGCGGCAGCGACGCUGAUGCGUUGUUGGGUAGGGGAGCGUUCUGUAAGCCUGUGAAGGUGUGCUGUGAGGCAUGCUGGAGGUAUCAGAAGUGCGAAUGCUGACAUAAGUAACGAUAAAGCGGGUGAAAAGCCCGCUCGCCGGAAGACCAAGGGUUCCUGUCCAACGUUAAUCGGGGCAGGGUGAGUCGACCCCUAAGGCGAGGCCGAAAGGCGUAGUCGAUGGGAAACAGGUUAAUAUUCCUGUACUUGGUGUUACUGCGAAGGGGGGACGGAGAAGGCUAUGUUGGCCGGGCGACGGUUGUCCCGGUUUAAGCGUGUAGGCUGGUUUUCCAGGCAAAUCCGGAAAAUCAAGGCUGAGGCGUGAUGACGAGGCACUACGGUGCUGAAGCAACAAAUGCCCUGCUUCCAGGAAAAGCCUCUAAGCAUCAGGUAACAUCAAAUCGUACCCCAAACCGACACAGGUGGUCAGGUAGAGAAUACCAAGGCGCUUGAGAGAACUCGGGUGAAGGAACUAGGCAAAAUGGUGCCGUAACUUCGGGAGAAGGCACGCUGAUAUGUAGGUGAAGCGACUUGCU
rnacentral:rRNA from 1 species